CCCUUAGAUGCUCUGGGCCGCACGCGCGCUACACUGGUCGAUGCAACGAGUUUCUUUCCUUGGCCGACAGGCCUGGGCAAUCUUUGAACAUCGAUCGUGAUCGGGAUAGAUUCUUGUAAUUUUUGAUCUUAAACGAGGAAUUCCUAGUAAACGCAAGUCAUCAGCUUGCAUUGAUUACGUCCCUGCCCUUUGUACACACCGCCCGUCGCGCCUACCGAUUGAAUGGUCCGGUGAAAUCUCCGGACUGGCGUGAGUCGGAGCAAUCUGACAAACGCCGGAAAGUUGAUUAAACCUUACCAUUUAGAGGAAGGUGAAGUCGUAACA
rnacentral:rRNA from 1 species